rnacentral:rRNA from 1 species
GAGUUUGAUCGUGGCUCAGGAUGAACGCCGGCGGUGUGCCUAAUACAUGCAAGUCGUACGCACUGGCCCAACUGAUUGAUGGUGCUUGCACCUGAUCGACGAUGGAUCACCAGUGAGUGGCGGACGGGUGAGUAACACGUAGGUAACCUGCCCUGUACGGGGGAUAACAAUCAGAAAUGACUGCUAAUACCGCAUAAGACCACAGCACCGCAUGGUGCAGGGGUAAAAACUCCGGUGGUACAGGAUGGACCCGCGUCUGAUUAGCUGGUUGGUGAGGUAACGGCUCACCAAGGCGACGAUCAGUAGCCGGCUUGAGAGAGUGAACGGCCACAUUGGGACUGAGACACGGCCCAAACUCCUACGGGAGGCAGCAGUGGGGAAUAUUGCACAAUGGGGAAACCCUGAUGCAGCAACGCCGCGUGAGUGAAGAAGUAUUUCGGUAUGUAAAGCUCUAUCAGC